GUUUGUGAUGAUGCAAUCUACCCGCGGCUAGACGGAAAGACCCCAUGAACCUUUACUGUAGCUUUGCAUUGGACUUUGAAUCAAUCUGUGUAGGAUAGGUGGGAGGCUUUGAAGUAGGGACGCCAGUUCCUAUGGAGCCAUCCUUGAAAUACCACCCUGGUUCAUUUGAGGUUCUAACCUUGGUCCGUUAUCCGGAUCGGGGACAGUGCAUGGUAGGCAGUUUGACUGGGGCGGUCUCCUCCUAAAGUGUAACGGA
rnacentral:rRNA from 1 species